CUAAAAAUAAGCACACACCUAUUUCACUGGCACUAAGAGCAUGAAUAUUGUGAGAAUCUGCACAGCGGGUCUGCCAGCAAAGCCAAAAUUUGUCCUCAUUUCUCUGCAGGUAUGCUAAAGAACAUCUCCUAUGGAUUUGACCUCAGAAACAGCAAAGAGAUGGGAUGGUGCAGAAGAAGCUGGAGAAAGAAGAGAAAAAUAAGAUGGAAAAGAAACAAGGUGUAAACAAAAAACUGUGGUGUCAAUACACACAGCUUAAAAAGGCUAAAUGAAUGUCCUGAUCCAACAGGAUGUGAGGAUGUGUGGAAAGAGGGACAAAGUCUCUCAUUGCUUUUACAUCAUGGUUUUCAAGUAGUCACCUAUUCUGUACUACGGCUGAACAAAAAGGAUAAAGAAAAUACAAACAUUACACAUAAAAAUCUCACUUCCUUGAGAAAAUGGAUUAAAAAGGGAAGAAAAAGUUGAAAGAGUUUAUUAACUCUGUAAUUUAAUGACUCUCACUUAGAAUUCUCUAAGUCCUUUACAAAUAAUUCAGACCCAACGCCACUGCAUACCUCAGCAUGAAUGUUGCUCUGUGUAGGCAGUUGGACAUCUAGUAUACUUAAAAAGGAAAAAAGCAAUUUAAAAUGCUUUGCUGAAUUGCAUAAAAGAGCAGAUUAAUUUUCAUCCCCACUCUGGGAAUGAUGAAAUGGGGACAUGGGAGAUUUCAAUGUCAGUGUUAUCAGAAGACUCCACAAAUGGUGGUUUCUUCUAUCUUUUAGGACUGACAGUCGGAAGCACUGGGCAACACCACUUUCUUCUCCUCUUGUCACAAGACAAUGCUUUCCUCUUCCCCAGACAAGCACAAUUCCUGCGUUAUUUGCUUUUCAUUUCUCCGUUACAUGAGAUAGCCACGUUGUGUUGCUGCACAAAGAGGGGCUUUGUUUCCCAACUAAAGGCAGGCAAAUAACUGGCUAUUGAAAUUUAUAAGGAAUGGAAUAAUGUGACAAAAUGCCAUGUUGCUGGAAUGCUUCUGUUCAAGAGCAUGCCUGCACAGAUGGAGCAGAGCCUUGUCACCAGUGACCUUGCUCGCUCUUCCGCACCAGUUGCAUUUUCCAAGUUCCUUCCUCCUGCUGCAGCUUUGGACCUUCCAUUCUCAGUGGUAUUGCAACCAGCCAGCGGGAACCUCAUGAGGCAAUCCUUUAAAAAGAAAAAAUAAAAUAAAAUCAGAUUAAAACGACAUCACAUUGAUGUUGCAAAGCAAGCUACCUCGGUGUUGGUGUAGCAUGAUCUCCUGCCCUCCAGUGCCUGCCCAUUUCAGAUGUCCUCAUCAUCACAAACAGAAGCUCUAGUGCUAGCAAAGCACCAUAGCUAGUCAGCCAGGCCUAUCCAGCAGUGUAACUUGAGUCACCCAACGACUGUAUUUUUCGUGCAAUCUAUAAGAAGUUGGGAUUAAAUACCCAUUUCAUCAUUUUUCAUUCAUGACUGACUCUACAAUAAAUAUGCAUCCCAAUGACAAACCAGG
ensembl:lncRNA